AUGCGCAGAUAUCAGGAGGAACACCGAUGGCGAAGGCAGGUCUCUGGGCAUUAACUGACGCUGAGGAGCGAAAGCAUGGGGAGCGAACAGGAUUAGAUACCCUGGUAGUCCAUGCCGUAAACGUUGGGCACUAGGUGUGGGGGACAUUCCACGUUUUCCGCGCCGUAGCUAACGCAUUAAGUGCCCCGCCUGGGGAGUACGGCCGCAAGGCUAAAACUCAAAGGAAUUGACGGGGGCCCGCACAAGCGGCGGAGCAUGCGGAUUAAUUCGAUGCAACGCGAAGAACCUUACCAAGGCUUGACAUGAACCGGAAAGACCUGGAAACAGGUGCCCCGCUUGCGGUCGGUUUACAGGUGGUGCAUGGUUGUCGUCAGCUCGUGUCGUGAGAUGUUGGGUUAAGUCCCGCAACGAGCGCAACCCUCGUUCUAUGUUGCCAGCACGUGAUGGUGGGGACUCAUAGGAGACUGCCGGGGUCAACUCGGAGGAAGGUGGGGACGACGUCAAAUCAUCAUGCCCCUUAUGUCUUGGGCUUCACGCAUGCUACAAUGGCCGGUACAAAGGGUUGCGAUACUGUGAGGUGGAGCUAAUCCCAAAAAGCCGGUCUCAGUUCGGAUUGGGGUCUGCAACUCGACCCCAUGAAGUCGGAGUCGCUAGUAAUCGCAGAUCAGCAACGCUGCGGUGAAUACGUUCCCGGGCCUUGUACACACCGCCCGUCAAGUCACGAAAGUUGGUAACACCCGAAGCCGGUGGCCUAACCCC
rnacentral:rRNA from 1 species